CAGUUGCUGUAAAACUCUGUGAUGUAAACCUUUUAAAUUCUCCAAACAUGUAUUGACGUAUGAUGUAUUUUUCCUUCAGGAGCAGAGAUGCCCGAUUUCUGCAGAGCUGUUGUUGCUGUUUGAGAGUCACAGAGAGGUGAAGCGUCUACAGACUCUGACCUGCUGCCUCUGUUCUGGGUUUGAUACUAUGUAAUGAGUCUGUCCUGAUGAAGUAUACCUAACCUUUGAACUUGCUGUGGAGGGAAUUGGAGUAUCCCAAAAACUAAAGGUCAAAGUGAUAUCAUCUAGCAAUUAUGGUGUUUGUUAUGGUGUAUGUGUUUUUCUCGUGGUGGUUUUUCAAGUUCAUUUCUCCAUGACUGAUGUUGCUCCCUCAGCUACAAUAACACUAUAUGAGGGGCAAAAGAUUGAAAUCUCUCCGACAUGGAGUUUUCCAAAUUCAGCAUGGAUUCAACAGCACAUUUUUAUUGCAAACUAAUUACAAAACAGGGAGGACGAGACCCAGAGAGAGGAAGAGCAGAGGUCAGCAUUCCUGCCGGUCCUCAGAGACUCGCAGCAGAGAGAGCCCAGGCAUCAUGAAGCUGCAGAAAGCACACAGUGUCCCACUUAAAACAAGAAAUGGUCGACUCAGUGAUCAGAGCUGCCCUGUUUUAAUACAGCUUGAACACAUGAUCAUCUUCCAGCUUCUUCACCUGUGUGUCUGGUUCUCUGUCUGCAUGAAGUUGAGCAGUCAGAGCAACAGCGAGAAACAAAACAAGUCAAAGCAAGAAAUCAACACAGAUCCCUGAGGGCAUUACUGUGAUUUCACAUUCAUGAGAACGGGAUGGAUGGAUGGAUGGUCAACCAGAAAACAUAAUUCCUCCAGCUACAACUGUCACCGGUGCAGAGGCAUGACUAACUGCAGGGCAGGCAAGUAGAUCCCUAUCCAGUAUAGUACAGCAGAAUCCUUUCUUUGUUUGCUUUCAGCUGAACUCAGAGACAAGUAAAUAUGUGACCUCCAUAUGGUGUUUUGCUGGAGUCACGCUUCCCAAAUCUGUGCAGGGGAGAUGGUGAGUGCAGUGUUACUAAAAAAAGGGCCCAGGUGGGAAAACUCCAGAAUUUCCCUUUAUGUAAAUGUGUCAAGAUUACACAGAAAAUACUCAUUUAACAGGACUGACUUCAACACCUUAGC